rnacentral:rRNA from 1 species
UGCGUACGGGAGGCAGCAGUGAGGAAUAUUGGUCAAUGGGCGGGAGCCUGAACCAGCCAAGUCGCGUGAAGGAAGAAGGUACUUAGUAUUGUAAACUUCUUUUGUCGGGGAACAAAGGCGGAGACGCGUCUCCGGAUGAGUGUACUCGAAGAAAAAGCAUCGGCUAACUCCGUGCCAGCAGCCGCGGUAAUACGGAGGAUGCGAGCGUUAUCCGGAUUUAUUGGGUUUAAAGGGUGCGCAGGCGGGGGAUCAAGACAGCGGGAAAAUGUCGGGGCUCAACCCCGGACGGCCGUUGAAACAGGUUU